AGCCGUUGUUUUUGAGUGUCACAAAAACGAAGCUUGAAAGCAAGGUAUAUAAAAAAGCGAGUGUUGUUGUAUCCAUUUAUACUAGUUUUAUGGUUUAUGAGCCACACACUCGACACUGAGUUCAAAAGGCAGCAAUAUAUUUUAUUUUAUAUGCGACAUCGUACUCGUGGACGCAUACCAUGUUACCUCCCGUUCCUGUUCCUAUUGCUGUUGAUAUCAACGCUAUAAAAGAUAAGCUCUCCUUUCACUUGCGACCUUGGCAACGUUCUUUCCAAUUCUGGGUUCGAGCCAUUGACAUUUACACCGGAUACAAGGUGUUUCAAGUGAGAGUCAAUUUCGUCAAAGAUGUCCAGAAGCAGGAAGCAAUGUGGGAACGACAGCACGAGCUUGCUGCCGAUAAGAUUUUUGCCUUGUGUUCUGACCUCGGUGGUUUCUUCCUCAAGAUUGCCCAAAUUAUAGGGAAGCCUGAUUUGGCUCCGGCUGCAUGGGUGAAAAGACUUGUUACGCUGUGUGAUAGGGCUCCUCCUACCCCUUUUGAUGUGAUGAAACUAGUUUUGGAGAACGAGCUGGAACAGGGUAUUGAUGAUGUGUUCGAGAGGUUCGAUGUUGAACCCCUAGGUUCUGCUUCAAUUGCUCAGGUUCAUAGAGCAAGACUGAAAGGUGAUACAAGUGAUGUUGUCGUCAAGGUUCAACAUCCAGGAAUUCAGGAUCUGAUGAUGACAGAUAUCCAUAACUUGCAAGCGUUUGCACUGUACAUGCAAAAGACAGAUAUCAAAUUUGAUCUAUAUUCGGUGACUAAGGAGAUGGAAAAACAGAUUGGAUAUGAAUUUGAUUUCAAGAGGGAGGCUGAUGCGAUGGAAAGGAUAAGAAAGUUCUUGUAUGAGAAUAACAAAAAGACUCCUGUUUUGGUGCCACGAGUAAUACGAGAUAUGGUUACCAGGAGGGUCCUAGUCAUGGAAUAUAUUGAUGGGGUUCCAAUAAUGAACCUUGGUGAUGAAAUAGCAAAGAGAGGCAUAAAUCCUCGUGGUAAGGUUGCGGCAGCAGCAAAGCAGAAAAUUCUUCAAAGCUUGACUCUAGCAUAUGGUCAAAUGAUUUUAAAAAGUGGAUUCUUCCAUGCAGAUCCUCAUCCUGGGAACAUCCUGAUUUGUAAAGGAUCAGAGGUUGCCUUGCUAGACUACGGGCAGGUGAAAGAUCUCCCAGAACAGUUGAGGCUUGGCUAUGCUAAUCUAGUUCUUGCAAUUGCCAAUCGGGACCCAUUAAGAGCUGCAGAGAGCUAUAGGGAACUUGGUAUAGAAACCUUGAGCAGUUGUGAAAAUGGGCUACAAGAAUUGUUUAGACUAGCAGAGACAAUGUUUGAUACAAAAUUGCCUCCUGGGGUUGUAAUGCUGCAACCUUUCUCAGAUGAAUCUUCAAUUAAAAAAGUUGCUGUUCAGUCCUUUCCAGAAGAACUUUUUUCUGUACUUCGGACAGUGCAUCUACUGAGGGGACUUAGCGUUGGACUUGGAAUCAAUUAUUCUUGUGCAGAACAGUGGAGGCCCUUUGCAGAAGAAGCUUUGUCCCAAGCUGGCAGAUUAAAAGAUAAGAAUGUUAAGAGCAGAGGCAGGUAAAGUAAUUUUUUGAAGGGAUCAAACAGGAAGAUAUAUCAAUCUAGAUUGUUGAUUUUGAUUGACUGGUCACUUCUGCGAAGUUGAAGAAAGGAUUGUACACGUUUCAUAUAACAGUUGUUACAUUGCCAUUAUUGAAAUUUUGAGAAAAAUAUUUAACAAGGUAUGCAGUCUAUUGCUAGAUUAAGAGAGCAUCAAUAGCCUUUCCACUCAACAUACUAUUUAUGUGGCAAUAAGAUCUUGUUUUUGUUAAGAAAUCAAGGAUACUUUGUGUUUUUCAAAUACAACUGUAAAGUUGCUUGGGUAAUGAGCAAUGCAGAAAAUUCACCUGCAUGUCCUCUAAAUGGGAGUUGAAGAGCCAUAAGCAUCUCAUCCCUUUCUAUCUAUCUUUGUUGUCUUUAUAGACUAAUUUGUUGCCUAAAUAUAUAUUUCCUAUAUUACAUGUAACUAACAUGGCAUAUGGAAUAUUAACUCUCUUGGAGGGUGUUUGAUACAAAAACCUUUUUUUAAUUUUUAGGAAU